GCGGCAGGUCCCUUGGCCGUACUUGCCUCUGCUCGACGGCUUCGCGUUGGAAUGCUUGAACUGGGGCCUGCUCCUGCUCUUGUUGCUCCUCCUCCUGCGACCGACCCUUUCGUACUACGACUAAUAGCUCCUGGUAGAUGGUACUUAGGUCAACCCUUCGUUAGUGCAAAAAUCUUUAAUUUUUUUAUUUUUGGUAAAAAGAAAAAAGAAAACAAUUUUUUAACUAAAUUACUUGUGAAGUUCUGGAAAUCUUAAAAAACUUUUUAGGAAUUCAUAAAAAAAAUUUAGGAUCAGGAAAAACUUUUAAGGAAAUCGGAGGUGUAGAUUAAAGGUAAAAGUAAAAAGUAAAAGUUAAAGGUUAGAGUUAAAGUAAUGAGUUAGAAGGUCGUAUUAGUCGAAAAGAAUCGAAAAACUUAAAGAGGAGAAGCUGGAAAGAGAGGUAUGUGUUAUAGAGUCUGUUUUAGGGGUGAUUAGCUAGGGUUGAGAAAUAGGUAAGUUUUGUGAGAGAGGUUUGGAAGGUUUAGACUGAGGGGAUAAAAAGCGACGAGUAUAAAUUUAUUGAAGGUAUGUUGUGUGUGGAGGGCUUGAAAGUAGUUUUUGUGUAUAGGUGAGAUGUAAAGAACUAGAGGUGGAGUUGUGGCUUAGGUGAAGGAGUGUUAAGGAAAGAUAAGUGCUGGGAGGGGUUUGGUCCAAGCUGAGAGUUUGAUAGGUGUAGUGCGUGGAAAGUAGUGAAAAAAGAAAAAACUGGGUGUAGCUGGAAGAGAACUAGAUGGGCUGCUAAGCGAGUGCAAGCUGACCUAAAGAAAGCUGCUGAAGCUAUAUUUAGCAAGGCACGUCACGACGCGUUUCGGCCUUGCCAGGGCCUCAUCAGGUGACUCUUGCGCUAAGUUUAGGUGCUUUGCUAUGCUAAGAGCCCCCUGAGAUGUAGAAAACGUAAACUGACCGUAGUGGGCGAACUGUACCAGUGGUGAAGAAGUUUGGUGGUGGUAGUUGGUGUUCGCAGAGCGGUUUUAGUCCAAUCGAUGGUGGUUGUCAAGUGGUGAGCGAGGACGAGCCUGAAUGAAAAACGUAAUGAUAGUGAGUUGUAAAGUCAAUUGCAGUGGGUGUAGGAGCCUGGUUUGGAGGUUUAUGAGCAGUUACGAGUUGGCAUGGCGGGUAUGUACGAUAUGGGUACUCGACGAGCAAUCACGGAGGUUUGAAUUGAAAACUAGCUGUGUUGCGAUGGAUUAUUUGCGAGGAAAAAGAAAGGCGGACGGCUGGGGAGGACUUACUGUUGGUGGGCGAUGAUGAGGUUCGAACGGUGGCGUUGUGCAAGAUAGCACCGCGCGAAGAUUGUAGGUCUUUGUGGAUUAUAGGGAAUAAAGAUAAGUUGUUGUAGAUGAGGAUACUGAAGAGUGGUGGUAUUUGAUGUGAAAGGUGUGGGCUAUAGGUGUGGCUAUAGGUAUGACGGCGUUCGGUGUUAUAGGCGCGAUUGAGCGAGUUUGGGAAUAAAUGGUGAACGAGAUAUCAGUAUAUGUAUUAAAUGGAGCGCGCUUCUUUAAAUCGAGUGUUCGUUGCGAGUGGGUGUGGUUCCCUGGAGUGAGUUGUAUCGCCGGCGGGAGGUGCGACGUGUCGGUUUGGGCGUAGUAUACUUUUGUUGAAAGGAAUAUUUUUGUAGGCGUUGGGUAUUUUUGUUGGGUUGAGGGGAGAUAGUCUGUAUGCCUGGCGCAUAUAGUGGAUUGGGAGUUAUUGUGUUGCUGGCUUUUGCCGUUGGCGAGUUGUUGGAAAGGUGAUAUGGUAGUUAAGAAAAAGUGAAAAAAGAAAAAAAGGGUAAGGCUUUCGUAAGAGAAUAGCAGUGAGACGGUUGAGUUUGUUACAGAGUUAGUUAGUUAUUACGUAAUGUCAGAAUGUGAAGGGAUGUUUGGAAUAAGGUGGGGAUAGGGGGUAUAGUCGUUACAGGAAGGUGUGACGGUGAAGCUCAGACUUCAGAGUCUUAAGGGAUACGAGGGAUAUUUUAGGAAAGAUCCACCAGACCGUGAUAAGUGAAGUUUUGGGAAAUACGUUAUGGUGUAGGAUUGACGAUACGAGUGGAUUGUAAGUAGUUUAAAGGGAGGGGGGAGUUGCCAAGGUGGUUGCUGCUGCAAGUACUGUGUAACGGGAGUCGAAAAACGUUAAUGGUUAACGUGGCUGCUGCUGCUGCUGCUGCUGCGCUAAGGCCUGCCGUUGCAGCUCUAAGGCUAAGGGAGUCGGUCGCGGCAGCGACAGCUGAGGAUGAUGACGAAUCUUCGCGAAUGGCGGGAAGCUGGCAAAGGUAACCCUCCCUGCCGCUCCUCUGCCUCCGCAGCGGCAGCACGUUCGUCGCCCGCCCCUCUGCGCCUGUCACCUAUAGCUUGGUGUGACGCCUGUUGCAUCAUGUGUGCUUUCUUUGUUUUCCCUGUUGUGCAUGUUCAACAGGCGGGCUGCACCUGGCCUGGGUUGGCAUUCCGCUCAUGGUGCUGGUGCUGGUGGUCGGUCGUGGCGUCAGCAUCGUGGAUNNNNNNNNNNNNNNNNNNNNNNNNNNNNNNNNNNNNNNNNNNNNNNNNNNUUGUUGGAAAGGUGAUAUGGUAGUUAAGAAAAAGUGAAAAAAGAAAAAAAGGGUAUCGCCGAGGCUUUCGUAAGAGAAUAGCAGUGAGACGGUUGAGUUUGUUACAGAGUUAGUUAGUUAUUACGUAAUGUCAGAAUGUGAAGGGAUGUUUGGAAUAAGGUGGGGAUAGGGGGCAUAGUCGUUACAGGAAGGUGUGACGGUGAAGCUCAGACUUUAGAGUCUUAAGGGAUAUGAGGGAUAUUUUAGGAAAGAUCCACCAGACCGUGAUAAGUGAAGUUUUGGUAAUUACGUUAUGGUGUAGGAUUGACGAUACGAGUGGAUUGUAAGUAGUUUAAAGGGAGGGGGGAGUUGCCAAGGUGGUUGCUGCUGCAAGUACUGUGUAACGGGAGUCGAAAAACGUUAAUGGUUAACGUGGCUGCUGCUGCUGCUGCUGCUGUGGUGGUGGCGGUGGUGGCAGCGACGGUUUGGAGGGGCUUGCUGCUGCUAGUCUACUACUUUCUGCUCCUACUCCUACUCCUGCUCCUGCUCCUCCGCCUCGAUCUUUAUCCAGCAUCAUCUCCUGCUCCUGCUCCUGCUCCUGCUCCUGCUCCUCCUACAGCAGAGGUGCGGCUGCUCUCCACCUCUCAGCCUGAAGUUCCUCCUCCUCCUCCUCCUCCUCCUCCUGCUCCUGCUCCUCCUCUUCCUCCUCUUCCCCCUCCCGCCAGCACUCUAUAAUAAUAAUAAUAAUAGCACGUGCCGCCUCAUGUACGUUUUGCUUUUCCUGCUUCUUCCUGCAGCAUGCAGGAAAAAAACGUUAUAUUAUAGUGUACAUUAAAAAGCACAUUUUGUUGUUUCAAUUCAACAAUGAUUGUUAUUAUAAUAAAACAAAAGUUGAAGAAAGCUUAAAUCGUCUCAUAUUGCUGCUGCACAAGUCGGUUAACAUAGCAUCAGUGACGGACCCAAAUCGUAACCGUAGUGGUUGCUUCAGCCGUAACUUGAACCCACGAUCAUCAAUUGCGCAUUCGUACUGCAAAUUUACUAUUUGUCUUAGCACACUAGGCUCGCUCACCACUUUCCGGUGGGAGUAGCCGAUGACUUGACCGGGGAGCGUUAGUCUACUAGACGCGGGCUGUGUCGCCCGCGAGGGGGCCGUAGUCCCCCGGUGAAUUCCGCGUUGCACGGUGCUGUCGUAAGCGUGUACAGCAUAGCAAAGCAUAGCGCGUACGGCAUAGCACAGCAUAGCAUAGUUCGUACGGCACAGCAUAGCACGUACAGCAGAAUACGGCAAAGCACAGCAUAGCAAAGUUCGUACGGCAUAGCGUACGGCAUAGCGAACGGCAUAGCGUAGCACGUACGGCAUAGCGCGUACGGCGUACGGUGUAUGGCGCGUACGGCAUAGCGCGUACGGCGUACGGUGUAUGGCGCGCACGGCAUAGCGCGUACGGUGUACGGCGUACGGCAUGUACGGCGUAUGGCGCGUACGACACAGCGUGUACGGCGCCUGCGGCGCGUAUGGCUUAGCGUGUACGGUAUAGCAUAGCGCGUACGGCAUAGCAUAGCGCGUACGGCAUAGCAGAGCGUGUACGGCACACCAUAGCAUAGCGUGUACGGCAUAGCAUAGCGCCUACAGCAUAGCAUAGCAUAAAAAAGCGUAGUGCAGCAUAGCAUAGUGUAGCGUAGGGAAGUAGUUUUUGCGUAUGGGUGAGAUGUAAAAAUCUAGAGGUGGAGUUUUGGCUGAGGUGAGGAGUGUUAAGGAAAAAUAAGUGCCGGGAGGGGUUUGGUCUAAGCUGAGAGUUUUAUAGGUGUAGUGCGAGGAAGGUAGUGAAAAAAGGAAGUCUAGUUGUAGCGGGAAGAGAACUAGAUGGGCUGCUAAGCGAGUGCAAGCUGACCUAAAGAAAGCCGCUGAAGCUAUAUUUAGCAAGGCACGUCACGACGCGUUUCGGCCUUGCCAGGGCCUCAUCAGGUGACUCUUGCGCUAAGUUUAGGUGCUUUGCUAUGCUAAGAGCCCCCUGAGAUGUAGAAAACGUAAACUGACCGUAGUGGGCGAACUGUACCAGUGGUGAAGAAGUUUGGUGGUGGUAGUUGGUGUUCGCAGAGCGGUUUUAGUCCAAUCGAUGGUGGUUGUCAAGUGGUGAGCGAGGACGAGCCUGAAUGAAAAACGUA
rnacentral:lncRNA from 1 species